GACGAACGCUGGCGGCGUGCCUAAUACAUGCAAGUAGAACGCACAGUUUAUACCGUAGCUUGCUACACCAUAAACUGUGAGUUGCGAACGGGUGAGUAACGCGUAGGCAACCUGCCUGGUAGCGGGGGAUAACUAUUGGAAACGAUAGCUAAUACCGCAUAAUAUUAAUUAUUGCAUGAUAAUUGAUUGAAAGAUGCAAUUGCAUCACUACCAGAUGGACCUGCGUUGUAUUAGCUAGUAGGUGAGGUAACGGCUCACCUAGGCGACGAUACAUAGCCGACCUGAGAGGGUGAUCGGCCACACUGGGACUGAGACACGGCCCAGACUCCUACGGGAGGCAGCAGUAGGGAAUCUUCGGCAAUGGACGAAAGUCUGACCGAGCAACGCCGCGUGAGUGAAGAAGGUUUUCGGAUCGUAAAGCUCUGUUGUAAGAGAAGAACGGGUGUGAGAGUGGAAAGUUCACACUGUGACGGUAUCUUACCAGAAAGGGACGGCUAACUACGUG
rnacentral:rRNA from 1 species